rnacentral:lncRNA from 1 species
UCUCCGGCACCAUCCUCUCCACCUACUUCAUCUCCAGCUCCUUCUCCCACCACUGGCUCAACCCCAUCACCCACUCCUUCUCCCUCCUCCACCUCACCUUCCACACCCCCUACUACUACACCCUCUCCUUCUCCCAGCAUCGCUUCUCCUCCGGCACCGCCGACAUCCGGUUCCGGUUCACCCCCUACUGCUACCCCUACUGAAUCACCCAACGGCAGCUUCGCUGAUGGUUGGUUGAACAGAGUCGUCAUUGCCGGAACUGCCCUGGCCGGAUCAUUCGUGGCGGUGGCCAUGAUCUAGAGCGGGACCUGACCCACGUGGAUGAGGGUUGGCAUUUCAGGCC